UACGUAGGCAGCAAGCGUUGUUCGGAGUUACUGGGCGUAAAGGGUGCGUAGGUGGCUCUAUAAGUAUGGUGUGAAAUCUCCCGCUUAACUGGGAGGGUGCGCCGUAGACUGUGGGGCUAGAGUGUGGGAGAGGGAAAGUGGAAUUCCUGGUGUAGCGGUGAAAUGCGUAGAUAUCAGGAGGAACACCGGUGGUGUAAACGCUUUCUGGACCAUAACUGACACUGAGGCACGAAAGCGUGGGUAGCAAACAGG
rnacentral:rRNA from 1 species